UAUUUUUUUUUAUUUUUUUUUUAUUGGAUCGUUUCAAAAUUUCAAAUGCUUCUACAGGCAGGGGAGAAUGUCCUGGGUAC
rnacentral:ribozyme from 14 species